AGUACAAACUAAACCAAAGUGAAACCGCAAAUGGCUCAUUAAAUCAGCUAUGAUUCAUUGGAUCUGUACACCCAGUUUUCCUUGGAUAACUGUGGUAAUUCUAGAGCUAAUACAUGCACAUAUAGUCCCUGACCUAAACGGGAAGGGCGCUUUUAUUAGUAUCAAAACCGGUCUGGCUUCGGUCUGUAAACCCAGUUGUGAUGACUCUGGAUAAUUUAAGCUGAGCGCACGGUCUUUGCACUGGCGCCGCUUCUUUCAAGUGUCUGCCUUAUCAGCUUUCGAUUGUAGGUUAUGUGCCUACAAUGGCUAUAACGGGUAACGGGGAAUCAGGGUUCGAUUCCGGAGAGGGAGCCUGAGAAACGGCUACCACAUCCAAGGAAGGCAGCAGGCACGCAAAUUACCCACUCCCAGCCUGGGGAGGUAGUGACGAAAAAUAACGAUGCGAGACUCAUCCGAGGCCUCGCAAUCGGAAUGAGUACACUUUAAAUCCUUUAACGAGGAUCAAUUGGAGGGCAAGUCUGGUGCCAGCAGCCGCGGUAAUUCCAGCUCCAAUAGCGUAUAUUAAAGUUGUUGCGGUUAAAAAGCUCGUAGUUGGAUUUCUGGAACGGACUGAAGGUUCGCCGUGAGGCGUUUAAAACCUAUCAGCUUCCGAAACCAGCAAAUCACAACAACUUUGUGUAUGCUCACGCUAGCUCACACGGGGUGUUCUUAAUUGAGUGCCCCGCGUGGCUGGUAUGUUUACUUUGAAAAAAUUAGAGUGCUCAAAGCAGGCCAACUGAAUGGCCUGAAUGUCUAUGCAUGGAAUAAUGUAAAAGGACCUCGGUUCUAUUUUUAUCCGGGCUUUUGUGGAACCCGAGGUAAUGAUUAAUGGAGAUGAAUGAGGGCAUUAGUACUGCGACGCUAGAGGUGAAAUUCUUGGACCGUCGCAAGACUAACAAAGGCGAAAGCAUUUGUCAAG
rnacentral:rRNA from 1 species